ensembl:rRNA 5S_rRNA 5S ribosomal RNA
GCCUACGGCCAUACCACCCUGAGAACGCCCGAUCUCGUCUGAUCUCGGAAGCUAAGCAGGGUUCGGGCCCGGUUAGUACUUGGAUGGGAGACCGCCUGGGAAUACCGGGUGCUGUAGGCU